rnacentral:tRNA from 1 species
CAGAUCAGAGCUUGAUUAGAAAGCAUUUUAUUUACAUUAAAAAGUUGUUGUGCAAUUCAAUAUGAUUUGA